rnacentral:lncRNA from 1 species
GAACCAUGUUGCGACAAUUGCCAAAACAAUCAAUGCCAAAAUAGCAACCUGUCAAAAGAAAACAAAAAUAUAAAAGAAAACCUAGAAGAAGUCAGAAACUAUACUCUGCUUAAUGCAGAAGGACAAGAAUGCUUAACAGAUAUCGAAAAAGACUAUACCCUAAUAAGUAUAGAAACUCAGUUCUAUAAUUUUAGAAAAGGAAUGGAUAAAAUAGGAAUA